rnacentral:rRNA from 1 species
CCGUUCAAUACUGCGGGGCUUGAGGGUAGAAGAGGGGGGUGGAAUUGCCGGUGUAGUGGUGAAAUGCGUAGAUAUCGGCAGGAACACCUGUGGCGAAAGCGGCCCCCUGGUCUGCUCCUGACACUCAGACGCGAAAGCUAGGGGAGUGAACGGGAUUAGAAACCCCGGUAAUCCUAGCCGUAAACGAUGGAUGCUAGGUGUGGGUGGUAUUGACCCCAUCCGUGCCGAAACCAACGCGUUAAGCAUCCCGCCUGGGGACUACGGCCGCAAGGUUAAAACUCAAAGGAAUUGACGGGGACCCGCACAAGCAGCGGAGCGUGUGGUUUAAUUCGAUGCUACACGAAGAACCUUACCCAGGUUUGACAUGCAGGUAGUAGUGAAGCGAAAGCGGAACGAUUCUUAAGGAAGCCUGCACAGGUGCUGCAUGGCUGUCGUCAGCUCGUGCCGUGAGGUGUUUGGUUAAGUCCACUAACGAGCGCAACCCCUGUCGUCAGUUACAUGUGUCUGGCGAGACUGCCGGUCUUAAACCGGAGGAAGGUGGGGAUGACGUCAAGUCAGCAUGGCCUUUAUAUCUGGG